rnacentral:rRNA from 1 species
GGUGGUGUCGCUUGUUCAGCGCCUCUGGCGUGCAUUCUGGCGAUACCUUGUCGUUGUGGCUGGUUGGUACGUGAUUUUGACGUACUGGCUGGUGAGGGCUCCCUUUCGGUGAGGACAACGACAAAAUGACGCAAUACGACCCGUCUUGAAACACGGACCAAGGAGUCUAGCACGGCUGCGAGUCGAAGGGUGUAAAACCCAAGGGCGCAGUGAAAGCGAAUUUAUAAGCAAAUUGGGGAGGCGUGGAGUUUUUAACAAAAUGUCCUACCUUGAGCAUUUGUGCUGGGACCCGAAAGAUGGUGAACUAUGCCGGAGUAGGGCAAAGCCAGAGGAAACUCUGGUGGAGGCUCGUAGCGAUGCUGACGUGCAAAUCGCUCGUCGAACUUGGGUAUAGGGGCGAAAGACUAAUCGAACCAUCUAGUAGCUGGUUCCCUCCGAAGUUUCUCUCAGGAUAGCGGGCCGACAUAUGUUGUUUUGUGCGGUAAAGCGAAUGAUUAGUGCAUUUGGGGUCUGAUAGACUUCGGGCGAUUCUCAAACUUUAAAUGCGCAAGGGGGUGGCUGCUUAAUUGAGCCUACUCUUUGAAAAACGUCGGCCCUGUGGGCCACUUUUGGUAAGCAGAACUGGCGAUAAGGGAUGAACCUUAAGCGCGGUUAAGGCGCCGCAUUGCCCGCUUAUAGACCCCACAAAAGGUGUUGAUUCAUUUAGACAGCAGGACGGUGGCCAUGGAAGUCGGAAUCCGCUAAGGAGUGUGUAACAACUCACCUGCCGAAUGAAUUAGCCCUGAAAAUGGAUGGCGCUUAAGCGGGCAGCCGACACCGCGCCGUUCCGGCGAGACGAUGCCGGGAUGAGUAGGAGGGCGUGGCGGUCAGUGACGCAGGCGAGGGUGCAGACCCCGCUGAAACGGCCGCUAGUGCAGAUCUUGGUGGUAGUAGCAAAUAUUCAAGCGAGAUCCUUGAAGGGCGAAGCGGGGAAGGGUUCCACGCAAACAUUGAUUGGGCGUGGGUGAGUCGUUCCUAAGCCGAGUGGCAAUUGCUAAGUAGCGGCGAAAGGGAAGCGGGUUAAAAUUCCCGCACACGGAUAUGGAGGCGGCGACGCAAGCAGAGGCAAAUACGCUGGCGAGGGCGCUGGGCAGAGUUGUCUUUUCUGUUUGACCGGCAUCGCGCUGUGUGGAAUCCGCUUAUCGGGAGAAACACGCGCGGGGAGGGGCAGAGCGUCAGGUCUUUUCUGGCGUCCGGCUCGCCCUCGACGGCCCUUGAAAAUUUGCCCGCGAACUUAAAUUUCAUGCUGUGACGUACCGAUAACCGCAUCAGGUCCCCAAGGUGAACAGCCUCUGCUCAAUAUGAACAAUGCAGGUAAGGGAAGUCGGCAAAAUAGACCCGUAACUUUGGGAAAAGGGUUGGCUCUAGUGGAGCGGGGGUUUUCAAAGGGAGCUCACCUGUGCUUGGCGCAGGGCGGAUGUGGCUAGCUCACGCUGGACGUGUCUGCUCCGCGUCUUGCGCGGGGGACGUUUCUCGCCCUCAGCAUGCUCCAAACUAGAACUGCAACGGGCAAAGGGAAUCCGACUGUUUAAUUAAAACAAAGCAUGCGAAG